UCAGGACGAACGCUGGCGGCGUGCCUAAUACAUGCAAGUCGAACGCUUCUUUCCUCCCGAGUGCUUGCACUCAAUUGGAAAGAGGAGUGGCGGACGGGUGAGUAACACGUGGGUAACCUACCCAUCAGAGGGGGAUAACACUUGGAAACAGGUGCUAAUACCGCAUAACAGUUUAUGCCGCAUGGCAUAAGAGUGAAAGGCGCUUUCGGGUGUCGCUGAUGGAUGGACCCGCGGUGCAUUAGCUAGUUGGUGAGGUAACGGCUCACCAAGGCCACGAUGCAUAGCCGACCUGAGAGGGUGAUCGGCCACACUGGGACUGAGACACGGCCCAGACUCCUACGGGAGGCAGCAGUAGGGAAUCUUCGGCAAUGGACGAAAGUCUGACCGAGCAACGCCGCGUGAGUGAAGAAGGUUUUCGGAUCGUAAAACUCUGUUGUUAGAGAAGAACAAGGACGUUAGUAACUGAACGUCCCCUGACGGUAUCUAACCAGAAAGCCACGGCUAACUACGUGCCAGCAGCCGCGGUAAUACGUAGGUGGCAAGCGUUGUCCGGAUUUAUUGGGCGUAAAGCGAGCGCAGGCGGUUUCUUAAGUCUGAUGUGAAAGCCCCCGGCUCAACCGGGGAGGGUCAUUGGAAACUGGGA
rnacentral:rRNA from 1 species